rnacentral:sRNA from 1 species
UCGCCGAAAGGCGAGUCCUCUGGUUUGGU